rnacentral:misc_RNA from 1 species
CAUAUUUGCGCCAGUUGUAGCCAUCAUCAUUUGGUUUAUCAACAGCGAGAGGAGGCUGCUGUCUCCUAUCAGAAUGAGAGAGAUCUGAUGAUUCCACCAUGGAACUAGGAUGUUCUGAGGUUGAGGGCAGCAUCUGCUGCUGUGAAGCUUCACCAGUGGUAAAGGAUGGAUGGUGUGUCAAUAACUCUGUAGAGGGUGCUACUGGAGCAGGUUGAUAUUGAGCUU